rnacentral:misc_RNA from 1 species
UACCUUGAUUUCAAUUGAAGUUGGUUAAAUAUAGCUUUAUGCUUCUGAAAAUUUUAUUUAAUUUUUAUUUCCCUCUUGAAAGACUGAUUACAAGCAUCUUUAAUACCUUAAUAAGAUAACUUUCUGGAGAUGCUAAAAGUUUUUAUUGGAUAUGGUCAUUUCUAUUUCAUUAAAUAUUGCUUGAAGGUAUUUAUGUUUGUUGGUUCCCUAAUUUAUGUGAAGGUGGUUUCUUGUAUCAUACCUAGG